ACGCACAGCGAAGGUGCUUGCACCUUUCAGUGAGUGGCGAACGGGUGAGUAACACGUGGACAACCUGCCUCAAGGCUGGGGAUAACAUUUGGAAACAGAUGCUAAUACCGAAUAAAACUCAGUGUCGCAUGACACAAAGUUAAAAGGCGCUUUGGCGUCACCUAGAGAUGGAUCCGCGGUGCAUUAGUUAGUUGGUGGGGUAAAGGCCUACCAAGACAAUGAUGCAUAGCCGAGUUGAGAGACUGAUCGGCCACAUUGGGACUGAGACACGGCCCAAACUCCUACGGGAGGCUGCAGUAGGGAAUCUUCCACAAUGGGCGAAAGCCUGAUGGAGCAACGCCGCGUGUGUGAUGAAGGCUUUCGGGUCGUAAAGCACUGUUGUAUGGGAAGAACAGCUAGAAUAGGGAAUGAUUUUAGUUUGACGGUACCAUACCAGAAAGGGACGGCUAAAUACGUGCCAGCAGCCGCGGUAAUACGUAUGUCCCGAGCGUUAUCCGGAUUUAUUGGGCGUAAAGCGAGCGCAGACGGUUGAUUAAGUCUGAUGUGAAAGCCCGGAG
rnacentral:rRNA from 1 species